AAACAAGAAGCAAUAUUGCAACCAGUUUCGACCUGACUUUAGAUGAUAAUUCAUCCUUGUUUA
rnacentral:tRNA from 1 species